GAGGUCUCCAUCCAUGUCUGACUAGAACACAGCUCUGUCUCCUGGUUGGUCCUUCAGUAACAGCCCUGCUAGUGGACCUCUGUGAGGUCUCCAUCCAUGUCUGACUAGAAUACAGCUCUGUCUCCUGGUUGGUCCUUCAGUAACAGCCCUGCUAGUGGACGCUCUGUGAGGUCUCCAUCCAUGUCUGACUAGAACACAGCUCUGUCUCCUGAUUGGUCCUUGAGUAACAGCCCUGCUAGUGGAGGCUCUGUGAGGUCUCCAUCCAUGUCUGACUAGAACACAGCUCUGCCUCCUGAUUGGUCCUUCAGUAACAGCCCUGCUAGUGGAGGCUCUGUGAGGUCUCCAUCCAUGUCUGACUAGAACACAGCUCUGCCUCCUGGUUGGUCCUUCAGUAACAGCCCUGCUAGUGGAGGCUCUGUGAGGUCUCCAUCCAUGUCUGACUGAGCUGUGAAACAUCAUCCUCAAGACUAGACUCCAACUGUCAGUGGUUCAACUCCUCUGAAUAGACCUUACUGGUUUUCUGCGUGUCAACUAGCCUGGAAUCCACACUAAAUAUUGCUUGUUUCAGAGCUAAGUUUAGUUUGAAUUUGGAAAAUGGAGCAAUAUUCAGUGUGGAUCCAGGGCUGGCCCUGCAGUCAGUGUAGGAAUGUGUGUAGCCUAACCAACAUUCUGUGACGUCUUCAUUAACCACACAGAGAGGCAGACCUGUGGGCCUCUCCAGAAAGGGAGCCCUUUGGUUUUAAAAGCAUCCCAGUAAUCACCUUAACCACACACAUACACACACACACACUUCUGGCUGUGCCCGAGCCUGUCUGUCUCCUACCAUCAUCAACAACAUUUUCAGUUAGUUAGUGGCUGUGCGUCCUCACAAGGGAACCUCUUCAGCCUGUUGAACCCGGUCUCACAGACUGCCACUAGACUUUCCCCCACGUUGCCCUGGACAUGGACUUACAGGUUUACUUUAACCCUGCAAUUAAACUAAGAGGAGAAAUUCCACUCUCGUUCAGAGACCCAAUCAAUUCAAAGGUGCCAGAAUCAAGAUGUUUUUAUUUUUUUUAAAUAUUUUUUUUUAUUUCACCUUUAUUUAACCAGGUAGGCUAGUUGAGAACCCCUUUAUUUAACCAGGUAGGCUAGUUGAGAACACCUUUAUUUAACCAGGUAGGCUAGUUGAGAACCCCUUUAUUUAACCAGGUAGGCUAGUUGAGAACCCCUUUAUUUAACCAGGUAGGCUAGUUGAGAACCCCUUUAUUUAACCAGGUAGGCUAGUUGAGAACACCUUUAUUUAACCAGGUAGGCUAGUUGAGAACCCCUUUAUUUAACCAGGUAGGCUAGUUGAGAACCCCUUUAUUUAACCAGGUAGGCUAGUUGAGAACAAGUUCUCAUUUGCAACUGCGACCUGGCCAAGAUAAAGCAUAGCAGUGAACAAUUAACAAGUCAAUAACGCAGUAGAAAAAAAGAGAGUCUGAGAUGUUUCUAAACGUGUAGGAUGUAGAAUGUAUAGUAAAAUGUAAAUGGUCUCUAAUUAGGCGGACCUGCAGUAGACCAUGAGAUGUUUUGCGUUCUAAACCGCACCCUAUUCGUUAUAUAGUACACUACGUUUGACCAGGGCCCAUACGGCUCUGGUCAAAAGUAGUGCGUUUUUAUUGGGAAUAGGGUGCCAUUUUGGAUGUAGCCGUGACUAAUAGCCUAAUUGCUGCCCUGUAUGACAUCACCAUACUGAAGAGUCAUUGGGUUGUUCUAUACCUGUUUCUAUUGCAUUCAUAUGGCACUGUUUCUAACCAUGCAUGUUUUAACUGUUAAAGUCAUUAGAUUGUGUCCUUCUUGUCCCUCACCCAAUCAGUAACGAGAUUGUGGGUGGUCUCCUUGUCUCUUACCCAAUCAGUAACUAGAUUGUGGAUGGUCUCCUUGUCCCUCACCCAAUCAGUCAGUAACUGUUCUGUUCUUUAUUCAUUAUGUACUCCAGUUGUGUUGAAACCUUUUCUUCUAGGUUGGACAUGACUACAUUAUCAUAAAGAUGUUGGAAAAUAAACCUUCUGAAGUCA